rnacentral:tRNA from 1 species
AAAAAGCUCAUUUGAUUCUCUAACUAGUUAUCCUCCUUUUCGUUAACGGUUCCAAAUUGGUUUUCUUCCUCAUUUACCCUUCUUUCCAUAAAGGUAUCUGAGCAGAAAUUUUUUUCUUAUCACAAGUCUUGUGAUAGACUUGAUAGAUGUACAAAUGAUCAGCUUUGAGCAAAUGAGUAUUCAACUUAUUUGAAUAAUUCACAAUACAUAUUAUUUCUUGUACUAAAACUUACAUACAAAGUCUUCUUUUGAAGAUCCAAGAAAUUCUGAGGCCUAGAUCAGACUUUGGAAUAUCCUUUCGCCUUUUAUUUCAUUGACAUAGAACCCUGUUAUCUAGUAACAUGAGUAGAUACUGCGGCGCGAAAGGCCGGGAUAGCUCAGU